rnacentral:rRNA from 1 species
GUGAAAUUGUUGAAAGGGAAGCGCUUGCAACCAGACCUGCCUGCAGUUGCUCAUCCGGGCUUUUGCCCGGUGCACUCUUCUGCUGUCAGGCCAGCAUCGGUUCGGGCGGUCGGAUAAAGGCUUCGGGAAUGUAGCUCCUCUCGAGGAGUGUUAUAGCCCGUUGCGAAAUGCGGCCAGCCUGAACUGAGGUCCGCGCUUCGGCUAGGAUGCUGGCGUAAUGGUUGUAAGCGGCCCGUCUUGAAACACGGACCAAGGAGUCUAACAUCUGUGCGAGUGUUUGGGUGUCAAACCCGUACGCGUAAUGAAAGUGAACGGAGGCGGGAACCCCUCGGGGUGCACCGUCGACCGAUCCUGAUGUCUUCGGAUGGAUUUGAGUAAGAGCAUAGCUGUUGGGACCCGAAAGAUGGUGAACUAUGCCUGAAUAGGGUGAAGCCAGAGGAAACUCUGGUGGAGGCUCGCAGCGGUUCUGACGUGCAAAUCGAUCGUCAAAUUUGGGCAUAGGGGCGAAAGACUAAUCGAACUAUCUAGUAGCUGGUUCCUGCCGAAGUUUCCCUCAGGAUAGCAGUAACGUUUUCAGUUUUAUGAGGUAAAGCGAAUGAUUAGAGGCCUGGGGGUUGAAACAACCUUCACCUAUUCUCAAACUUUAAAUAUGUAAGAAGUCCUUGUUGCUUAGUUGAACGUGGACAUUUGAAUGUAU